AGCCCAAAGUGGGUGGUAAACUCCAUCUAAGGCUAAAUACGACCACGAGACCGAUAGCGAACAAGUACCGUGAGGGAAAGUUGAAAAGUACUUUGAAGAGAGAGUUCAAGAGUACGUGAAACCGUUCAGGGGUAAGCCUGAGAAGCCCGAAAGGUCGAAAGGGGAGAUUCAACGUCGGAAUCGGACUGUCGGCGUGCGUUAGGUAUGCGACGAAUAUAUCGCGCUACCUUUUGCCGUCCGUCACCGACCGCGUGCACUUCUCCCCCUGUAGGACGUCGCGACUCGUUGGGUAUAUUUAUAUAAAAGUCCGUCUAAGGCCCGCUGCGGAGCCCGGAAACGACGCUUCGGCGACGAUUUUCCGGACGCGUGGAUCGCCCGACGGACGCCCGACGGUCAAAUGUGGCGUGAGGCCGCGUAUAACGCGUCCGGAACUAGUCUCUUAACCGAUGAUUAGUUUCUCGGACAGGUCAUCAGACCGCUAACGCCCGUCUGCGACGCUAUAGCUUUGGGUAGGCUCAG
rnacentral:rRNA from 1 species